AGUUGGGCCGCGAUUGGUGUUUCGGCCCAUUAAUCCUCCCAAACCCUAGCCGCCUCCCUCCUAACCCCCUCCCCCCUUGUGCAGCCCCCCCCCACUUCUCCCACUCCUUGGCCGCCACCCUCCCCUGCCCAUCUCCUCCUCUCUCAAUUCUUGCAGCCACACCACCAUACCCUAGCCGCCCCCCCCCCCCAAUCUCCUCCUCCCAAGGUGCCAACCCUUGCCGCUCGGAUCAUCGUCACGUGGUGCGAGUCUUCAAUCGUUUUGGUGGAGGGAAGAAGGGAGGAAGGAAAGGGGGAGAAUUCAAGGCACCUAAUUUCUGCUUUUGGGAAUAGAGGGAUGUAGCAGCACGGCCACUUCACCUUUAAAUAAAGGAACCACCACUUAAUACUGUUGUUAAUCAGAGUUGGUCAAGUCUAGUGUAUUACUUUGUUCUUGGUUGAGCGUUUGUUUUGGGGUGGGCUGAGUUCCUUAUCCUAUUUGUUUUGUUUCAGUUGGGUCAUAAUUAAGUUUUACCACUUUUGCAUUUUAGUUUCUACUAUGUGAAUUAUAUGUCUUUAUAUCUUGUAUGAGCUUCAUGUUUUCCCUCCUUGUUAUGCUAGUUUUCAAAGGAGGUGCUGCCGGAUUUUUGCUGUA